GACGAACGCUGGCGGCGUGCCUAAUACAUGCAAGUCGAACGAAGUGGCGCACGGGUGAGUAACGCGUAAUCAACCUGCCCUUCAGAGGGGGACAACAGUUGGAAACGACUGCUAAUACCGCAUACUGAAGGUGGGGAUUGCGGCGGAUUAGCUAGGUUGAGGGGUAACGGCCCACCAAGGCGAGGAUCAGUAGCCGGUCUGAGAGGAUGAGCGGCCACAGUGGGACUGAGACACGGCCCAGAGUCCUACGGGAGCGAGCAGUGGGGAAUCUUCCGCAAUGGACGAAAGUCUGACGGAGCAACGCCGCGUGAGUGAUGACGGCCUUCGGGUUGUAAAGCUCUGUUAAUCGGGACGCGGUACCGGAAUAGAAAGCAACGGCUAACUACGUGCCAGCAGCCGCGGUAAUAC
rnacentral:rRNA from 1 species